rnacentral:rRNA from 1 species
UACGGAGGGUGCAAGCGUUAUCCGGAUUUACUGGGUUUAAAGGGUGCGCAGGCGGAUAUGUAAGUCAGUGGUGAAAUCUCCGGGCUUAACCCGGAAACUGCCGUUGAUACUAUAUAUCUUGAAUGCUGUGGAGGUAAGCAGAAUAUGUCAUGUAGCGGUGAAAUGCUUAGAGAUGACAUAGAAUACCUAUUGCGAAGGCAGCUUACUACGCAGAUAUUGACGCCCAUGCACGAAAGCGUGGGGAUCAAACAGG